rnacentral:rRNA from 1 species
AGAGUUUGAUCCUGGCUCAGGAUGAACGCUGGCGGCGUGCUUAAGCUAUGCAAGUGGAACGGUUCCGGCUUUUGUCGGAAUAGUCGCGAACGGGUGAGUAAUACGUGGAAACGUGCCAAAAAGUCAAGGAUAACUUCGUGAAAGCGGGGCUAAUCCUGGAUAGUGUUCGGCUUUAUGUCGGACUAAAGGGCGUAACUGCUCGCUUUUUGAUCGGUCCACGGCCUAUCAGCUUGUUGGUAGGGUAAGAGCCUACCAAGGCGACGACGGGUAGGGGGCGUGAGAGCGUGUUCCCCCACAAUGGCACUGAGAUACGGGCCAUACUCCUACGGGAGGCAGCAAGUAGGAAUCUUGCGCAAUGGGCGAAAGCCUGACGCAGCGACGCCGCGUGAGGGAUGAAGGUUGAAAGAUUGUAAACCUCUUUUAUUUCAAUAUAGAUUGAGAUGAAUAAGCACCAGCAAACUACGUGCCAGCAGCGGCGGUAAUUCGUAGGGUGCGAGCGUUAUCCGGAUUUAUUGGGCGUAAAGGGUUGAGUAGGCGCCUUUCCAAGUUUUGCUUUAAAUACUAAGGCUUAACCUUAGAACCUGGCAAAAAACUGGAUGGGUAGAGGCACAGAGGGGGAAGUGGAACUGCCGGUGUAGCGGUUAAAUGCGUUGAUAUCGGCAAGAACACCGAGGGCGAAGGCAGCUUCCUGGAUGUAGCCUGACGCUUAGUCACGAAAGCUAGGGUAGCAAAACGGAUUAGAUACCCGUGUAGUCCUAGCUGUAAACGAUGGAUACUAGAUCCCCGACCUAUUGGGAAUGGGAAUGAUUUUUCCUAUUUCCGGUAGGCUGGGGGUCGUAGCUAACGCAUUAAGUAUCCCGCCUGGGGAGUACGACCGCAAGGUUGAAACUCAAAGGAAUUGACGGGGGAACGCACAAGCGGUGGAGCGCGUGGUUUAAUUGGAUGUUGAGCCAAGAACCUUACCAGGGUUUGACAUUCCGCUGCACUCUUAGCGAAAGUUAAGAUCCCUUCGAGGGUGCGGAACAGGUGUUGCACGGCAGUCGUCAGCUCGUGGCGUGAGCCGUAGGGUUAAGUCCUAAAACGAGCGCAACCCGUACCCCGAUUUGUAUCACUAUCGGGGAACUGCUUCGGUAACGGAGAGGAAGGUGCGGACGACGUCUUGUCAGCGUGGCCCUUAUGCCCUGGGCGACACACGCGCUACAAUGGUUAGUACAACAGGUUGCCAAGCCGUAAGGCGGAGCUAAUCCUCAAAACUAAUCUCAGUUCGGAUUGAGGUCUGAAAUUCGACCUCAUGAGGCUGGAAUCGCUAGUAACCUGCAAAUCAGCCAUGUUGCGGUGAAUACGUUCUCGUUCCUUGUACACACCGCCCGUCAGUUCAGGAAAGUUGGGGACGCCCGAAAUUCGAUGUUAUUUCGAAUGAAGGUGGAUUCAGCGAUCAGGGAUAAGUCGUAACAAGGUAACC